UACAGAGGGUGCAAGCGUUAAUCGGAAUUACUGGGCGUAAAGCGCGCGUAGGUGGUUUGGUAAGUCGGUUGUGAUAUCCCCGGGCUUAACCUGGGAAUUGCAGUCGAUACUGCCUGACUCGAGUGUGGGAGAGGGAAGCGGAAUUUCCGGUGUAGCGGUGAAAUGCGUAGAUAUCGGAAGGAACACCAGUGGCGAAGGCGGCUUCCUGGCCCAACACUGACACUGAGGCGCGAAAGCGUGGGGAGCGAACAGG
rnacentral:rRNA from 1 species